AACGAACGCUGGCGGCAGGCCUAACACAUGCAAGUCGAGCGAGGACUUCGGUUCUAGCGGCGGACGGGUGAGUAACGCGUGGGAAUGUGCCCUUCUCUACGGAAUAGCCCUGGGAAACUGGGAGUAAUACCGUAUACGCCCUAUUGGGGAAAGAUUUAUCGGAGAAGGAUCAGCCCGCGUUGGAUUAGGUAGUUGGUGGGGUAAUGGCCUACCAAGCCGACGAUCCAUAGCUGGUUUGAGAGGAUGAUCAGCCACACUGGGACUGAGACACGGCCCAGACUCCUACGGGAGGCAGCAGUGGGGAAUCUUAGACAAUGGGGGCAACCCUGAUCUAGCCAUGCCGCGUGAGUGAUGAAGGCCUUAGGGUUGUAAAGCUCUUUCAGCUGGGAAGAUAAUGACGGUACCAGAAGAAGAAGCCCCGGCUAACUCCGUG
rnacentral:rRNA from 1 species